rnacentral:rRNA from 1 species
CCUACGGGAGGCAGCAGUGAGGAAUAUUGGUCAAUGGGCGCGAGCCUGAACCAGCCAAGUCGCGUGAAGGAUGACUGCCCUACGGGUUGUAAACUUCUUUUAUCAAGGAAUAAAGUGAGGCACGUGUGCCUUUUUGUAUGUACUUUAUGAAUAAGGCUCGGCUAACUCCGUCCCAGCAGCCGCGGUAAUACGGAGGAUCCGAGCGUUAUCCGGAUUUAUUGGGUUUAAAGGGAGCGUAGAUGGGUUGUUAAGUCAGUUGUGAAAGUUUGCGGCUUAACCGUAAAAUGGCAAUUGAUACUGGCAGUCUUGAGUACAGUUGAGGUAGGCGGAAUGCGUGGUGUAGCGGUGAAAUGCUUAGAUAUCACGAAGAACCCCGAUUGCGAAGGCAGCUUACUAACCUGCCACUGACAUUGAUGCUCGAAAGUGUGGGGAUCAAACAGGAUUAGAUACCCUUGUAGUC